GCCUUCGGUGUGUAGUGGUCAGCAAACUCGACGCGUAACCGAGAGGUCCGUGGUUCGAUUCCCGUCGAAGGCG
rnacentral:tRNA from 1 species